GUUUAAGAGUCCUCUCGAGUUAUAGAGACAUCAAAAAAAUGCAGACAUGAUCUCAAAUUCUCUACCCACAAAAAAGAAUAUACAACCAGUGAAAUCAAAUUUAGUAAGAGAUCGCUCUCAGCCCACAGAAGGACCGGAAGGAUAUAGACAUGUCAUCUGAACUACCUUCGGAAGCAAAAGAGUCUCAACCGUCAACUCUCCCCUUCUAUGUGUUUGUGAAAAGGUCUAGUUAGAUUUUUGAUGGUGGAACUUGGAACAUUCU
rnacentral:misc_RNA from 1 species